UACGUAGGGCGCAAGCGUUGUCCGGAAUUAUUGGGCGUAAGGAGCUCGUAGGCGGCUUGUUGCGUCGGUUGUGAAAGCCCGGGGCUUAACCCCGGGUCUGCAGUCGAUACGGGCAGGCUAGAGUGUGGUAGGGGAGAUCGGAAUUCCUGGUGUAGCGGUGAAAUGCGCAGAUAUCAGGAGGAACACCGGUGGCGAAGGCGGAUCUCUGGGCCAUUACUGACGCUGAGGAGCGAAAGCGUGGGGAGCAAACGGG
rnacentral:rRNA from 1 species